UUUACUUCCCUUAAUAUCAAUGUUUUGCACUUAAUAAUAGUGAUUUACUUGUGUUUUACUUUUGUAGGUGCAAUUCUAUUGAUUGAUGAUAAAAUUGAGCUAUAAGAUGAUGUUUAAGGAUGAUUGUUCUCUUGGAGAAAUUAUGAGCGUCAGAAGAACUUUGUUGAUAAGGCGUGGGCGCGUGCUGUCAACUGCGGACCUGCAGUUUUAGUUUAACGUGUUUUGUAUUUUUGGUUAUUUUUGUAAUUACGAAUUUAAUAUUUCAGAUAUUAGGAUUUUAUUUUAAAUAGAAUUCUAAAAGAGAAGAGAGAGAGAGUAUUUAAGGGAGGAAUCUAUUGUGAAAAAGGGGGGAUUUUGGAUUGGAGAAAAAGAAAGAAACCCUAGAUCUUAAUUUUUCUCUUCUCUCUAUGAAGAACUAAACCUAUUUUUCUGGUUGAAGGAUAAUGAAGCUUUGAUUCAUCACUACUGUGAGAUCUUUCUUGUGCUUUAAUUGUUUUAUUGCUUUUUGGGUAUUUGUUUAUUCUCUGAAUUAUUUUCAUGAUUAUGUUUGUUAAUUAGGUAAUUGGCCACUAUUUAAUUAUCAACUUAAUCUAUUGUCAAUUAAAGGAUUCAUCGUAUGAAGAAUUUAAUGUUUGUGACAAAUAACAUAGCAGAGAGUUGUGUUGUGAGAAUAAACAAUCUAAUUUAAAUGAAUCAUCAUAUGUGUUGAUUAGGAUUUGGGUCUCUCUGGUUUUUCAGGCUUUCAAUUGAUUAAAUCCUAUGAUCGUAUCUAGGGUUGUCCAUUGAUUAGGGAAAUAACCAACGGUCGUACCUUGGUUAUCAACUAGUUAAGGAGAGAUUGGCUAUUAGAGGGUCUCAAUAGCUAUAACCGGUCUAUUCAUAAGUAAUAAUAAUCUAUAUUUGAAUCAAUGAUCAGUAGUCGAAUCAAGCUGAGUUAAUUCCUUCAACCAGAGCUUUCUCCAAUUUGAAUUACAACUUUAAUUUGUAUUCUUGUUAUUUCAAUUUGAUUUUUAUUAUUGUCAACAAUUCCCCCAUUUUACGUUUUACGUUUCAAAAGGAUUUAAAUAAUUACCGAUCUCUGUGGACACGACCCUGCUCAAUCACUAUACACAAUUUAUUUAGAGUAGGAAUUUAUUUUUGUUGGCUUCGACAACCAUCAAAUUUUGGCGCCGUUGCCGGGGAUUGGUGUCAUUUAUUUAAUCAUUUUUACGUUUUACUUGGUGUAUGGUUCGUUCUUCUCAUACAGGUACACUUUCGUUUGAUCCUGAAAUUGAGAAGACAGCUCGCCAGCUGAGACAGCAGACGAAGCGAGCUAAGCAACGAUCCUCGUCGCCUUUGCUUUCUGAAACAGAUACAGUGCAUGAUUUAGUUGAAUCAUCUAGUGAUUCAGAAGAACAAGUGAUGGAUAGACCUGCACCUGUAGAAAGAACUCUUACAGAGUUAGCUGAACCAGACUUGAAUCAGCAACCACUCUGCAUUCAAUAUGUAGAUUUGGAGGUAAAUUUUGAAUUAAAGUCUGGUCUUAUUCAUUUAUUACCCAAGUUUCAUGGUUUUGCAGGUGAAGAUCCUCAUAAACAUCUUAAGGAGUUUCAUGUUGUGUGCUCAAGUAUGAGGCCACAAGGCAUGACUGAAGAGCAGAUUAAGCUGCGUGCUUUUCCAUUCUCUUUAGAUGGGUUAGCUAAAGAUUGGUUGUACUACUUGCCUCCUGGAUCAAUUACAACGUGGAAUGGUUUGAAGAAGCAGUUCCUCGAGAAGUACUUUCCUGCUUCAAGAGCUGCCAACAUCAGAAAAGAUAUUUGUGGGAUCAGACAACUUCCUGGGGAGACUUUGUAUGAGUAUUGGGAGCGAUUCAAACAAUUGUGUGCCAGUUGUCCUCAGCAUCAGAUUUCUGAUCAACUUCUUAUUCAAUAUUUUUACGAAGGACUGUCAUUGAUGGAUAGGAGUAUGAUAGAUGCUGCUAGUGGAGGCGUGUUGGUGAACAAGACCCCUACUCAAGCAAGGGAGUUGAUAUCAAAUAUGGCUGCCAACGCACAACAAUUUGGCAGCAGGCAAGAUCCCAUUUUAAGGAAGGUGAAUGAGGUAAAUAUUUCUUCUGUUGAACAACGUUUAGAUAAACUUACUUCUCUUGUGGAAAAUUUUGUUGUAGGUAAUGUGCAACAGGUGAAGACUUGUGGUAUUUGUUACAAUAUGGGUCAUUCAACUGAUAUGUGUCCUACACUUCAAGAAGAACCCAUUGAACAAGCUAAUGCAGUUGGAGGAUUUCCAGGCAUGCCUCAGAGGAGGUAUGAUCCUUAUGCACAAACAUACAAUCCGGGAUGGAAGGAUCAUCCCAACUUCAGCUAUGGAGUUAGGCCGUCAGGAUUCCUACAACAGUAUCCACCAAGACAACCAACACCUCCACAGUCAAACUCCAAGUCAGGUAUAUCUCUUGAAGAAAUUGUUAAAUCACUUGCGACUAACACUCAACAAUUUCAGCAGGCAACUACAGCAAGCAUUCAGAACUUGGAGAACCAAAUGAGUCAAUUGGCGACUACAGUGAGCCGUCUGGAGUCUCAAGUAUUAGGGAGAUUGCCUUCACAAUCUGAGGUGAAUCCAAAGGAAAACGUUAGUGCUGUCAUCCUUAGAAGUGGGACGGAGUUGUAAGAGCCUAGUAAGAAAGUGACAAAGCAUGUAGAAGAUGAGCUUGAGAAGAAUGAAUUGAUGCCUCAAUCUCAAGAUGCACAACCCACCAGAGCGAAACCCCUACUUAUUGUGAUACCUCCUCAUUUUCCAAGCCGGUUUGCAAAAUCCAAGAAGGAGGAACAAGAUAAAGACAUCCUUGAGACAUUUCGCAAGGUUGAGGUAAAUAUUCCUUUGUUAGAUGCUAUAAAACAAAUACCUCGAUAUGCUAAAGUCCUUAAGGAACUGUGCACCUCCAAGAGAAAAUUAAGAGGAGAUGAAAAAGUUCACAUGGGGGAGAAUGUUUCAGCAGUUCUCCAAAAGAAACUACCUCCUAAGUGCAAGGAUCCAGGUAUGUUUACUAUCCCUUGUAAAAUUGGUAGUGUUAGAGUUGAAAAGGCUAUGUUAGAUCUAGGAGCUUCUAUUAAUGUCAUGCCUCGUUCCAUUUAUUCAUCUUUGAAUGUUGGUCCAUUAAAAGAAACCGGCGUGAUAAUUCAACUAGCUAAUAGGUCUAAUGCAUAUCCUGAUGGGGUAUUAGAAGAUGUCUUAUUACAAGUUAAUGAGUUGGUUUUUCCUGUUGAUUUUUAUGUACUUGAUAUGGAAGAUGAUAACUCCUCUAAUUCUGUCCCAAUUUUGCUAGGAAGACCUUUUCUUAAGACUGCUAGGACUAAAAUGGAUGUACAUAAAGGGACUCUCACUAUGGAGUUUGAUGGAGAGGUUAUAGAAUUCAAUAUGAAUGAUGCCAUGAAAUAUCCUAGUGAGGAACAUUCAGUAUUCUCUAUGGAUGUUAUUAACCCUAUAGUGCAGGAAGUUUUUUACAAGAAAAAGACGAAGACAUUUCAUGAUAGAAUGAUUUUGAGAAAGGAGUUCUCUGUUGGUCAAAAAGUUCUUCUUUUUCAUUCUAAGCUUAAACUUUUUCCGGGUAAAUUACGUUCUUGCUGGGUUGGACCUUUUAUUGUUACUAAUGUUUUUCCUCAUGGUGCAGUUGAAAUUCGGAGUCCGACCUCUGACAAAGUUUUUAAGGUUAAUGGUCAUCGCUUAAAACCUUUUUAUGAAGGUUUUUCGGUGAAUAUUGUGGAGGAUGUGGCUCUCGAGAGUCCCAAUUAUGGAGAUUGAUGCAUAAAUGUGUCUAGCCAAAGACAUAAAACAAAGGCGCUUUUUGGGAGGCAACCCAAAUGAUUUAUUUAUUUUGGUUUUUGUUAUAUCUUCUUUUAAUUUUGAUUCAGAUUUAAAAAAAAAAAAAAACAAUGUAUUUAUUUAUUUAUUUAUUUUUUCCAUAUUUUCUUUCUUAUAUAUAUAUAUAUAUAUUUUUAUUUAAAAAAAACGAAAAAAAAAACACAAAUAUCACAAAUCACUGUUCACAAAUCCCUAAUUCAAAAAAAAAAAAAAAUUUCACUGUUGAUUAUCUUUUUCACCUGCAGCAACCAGCAACCAGCAGCCGCAGCCUAAGUAGCGAGCAGCAACACGCGCGCGCAGAUUCAGUUCCACCCGCAGCGCGCAGUAUCCCACAACGCAGCCCCAGCAGCACGAAUCAGCGUCACCAAUGCAACCAGCCCGCGCGCAGCAAGCUCCAGCGAUCACCAUCGCGCAACACAAUCAGUGCCAUCCCGCGUCCAUCAAGCAAGCUCCAGCCGAGCAGCAAUCGCAACGCAACCAGCCUACGACCUGCAUUCCAGGCGCGUGAAUCGAAAUCCGUGACAAGAUGGAGCAGAAUUUGGCCGCAUACUUCAAGAGUGUGGGAUUUAUCCCACCAUUCCCGCCAAGCCCAUAGACGUUAUGAGGAUCAAAGCUCACAAUUCAGGGAAGUUUUUGCCUUUAAUCUUUUAUCCUUACGUUUUAAUUUUUAUGUGAGCUUUGAUUAUCUUACAUUGGGGACAAUGUAAGUUCUUGGUGUGGGGGAGGGAUUUUUGCAUUAUUGAUGUCUGGAAUUAUUGUUUUCACUCUACUCAUCUAUUUUCACUCUACUCAUCCUUAAAUGAUUUUGGAGUUAGUAUGCUUCAUAUAUUAUUAAUUUUCUUUUCCUCUCUCUCUCACUACUCUUUUCCCAUCUAUCUCAAAUUAUUUACAUCUAUUUUUAUUCUAUCAUACUCUUUCAUCACUCACAUUUUAUCUUUCACUUUUCAUAUUACUACAUACAUCUUUCUCACUUCUUAUCAUUUUUACCUUUUCUUUUAUAUAUCACUCAUACCUUCUUCUCAUUCUACACCACUAUUGAUGGUUGAUUCAUUUGAAGAGUGUACAUGAUUUGAUGGCAAAUUUACCAACUUUGUGAGGAUUUGAGCCUAUGAGCAACCACUUUGCUCUAAUAUUUUUGUUGUGUGAAUAUCAAUCUUAGUUUGUUUAUUCUAGAACUUGCUUUGUUAUGCAUGUUGAAGCCGCAUUACGGGAUUUUAUGCAUUAAAAUGAUAAGGGCAAACCCUUUUCCAUUUUUCUAUUCUCGCAUUUUUUUUUCUCUACCCGAAGACCUUUAUUUGCUAUCUUUGUUUGAGCCUUAACCAUUACCCAUCUAAUUUUCUCCGUCUACUUAACCAUUUUUCUUCUUUUUGAGCCUUAAUUUAAGGAGAUUUUUGGACUCAUUGUGUGGAUAUAUUUUGUUGCUUUUUCUACCUUGUAAUAAAGUUUCUCAAUUAGAUCAACAAGCAUUAUGCUUGAAUUAAAUUGUGCAAGGUUCGUUUCUUUUGUUUGAUUCAAAAACAAAAAAAAAAAGAAAAAAAAACAACAUAAAAAAGAGAAAAAAAAAGAAAAAGAAAAAUAAAAAAAAAGAAAAAAAAAUGUUUACAUUCUUGGUGAUUUGAGUAGAAAUAAGCAUUUUGAUAUCAUAAGUUCAUUCAAUGAGUUCAUUCUUCUCAUUUUGAUCUCUUUUUCUUUCGUAAACCUUUCUUUUUCAUUCAACCUAUUUAACCCCAUUACAACCCUUUUAAGACCCUUAGAUUUUUGCAUUUUAUUCAUGUUUUGUGGAUUGAGAUGUGAUAUAUGAGCAAGCUUAUGGUAAUAGCAUUCUUUGAUUUGAUUUGAGUGAAUAAAUGACACCCUAAACACUUUGAGUGCAUGGAGUGAAGUUAUUGAGAGGGCUAUUAAAUCUUGUUGCACUUGAAUUUUGAAUGGAUCUUCUUGGUGGUUGAAUGUUCUUAUUCUAUCUUAUGAAAUUCUAUGCUUUAAAAUCCUUCUCUCGAAUGUUGAUCGACUUAAUUUCUUGAGGUAUGCUUGCUUAAAAUUGUUUUUGGAUGAGUUGAGAUGAGAAUUGAGUGGAGAUUUGAGAUUAAUCUUGAGCUAUAUGCUUGAGGACAAGCAUCAUCUUGGUGUGGGGGAAUAUGUUAGAGUGCAAUUUAUGCACUAGUUUUGCAUUAUUUACUUCCCUUAAUAUCAAUGUUUUGCACUUAAUAAUAGUGAUUUACUUGUGUUUUACUUUUGUAGGUGCAAUUCUAUUGAUUGAUGAUAAAAUUGAGUUAUAAGAUGAUGUUUAAGGAUGAUUGUUCUCUUGGAGAAAUUAUGAGCGUCAGAAGAACUUUGUUGAUAAGGCGUGGGCGCGUGCUGUCAACUGCGGACCUGCAGUUUUAGUUUAACGUGUUUUGUAUUUUUGGUUAUUUUUGUAAUUACGAAUUUAAUAUUUCAGAUAUUAGGAUUUUAUUUUAAAUAGAAUUCUAAAAGAGAAGAGAGAGAGAGUAUUUAAGGGAGGAAUCUAUUGUGAAAAA
rnacentral:lncRNA from 1 species